rnacentral:rRNA from 1 species
CUACGGGCGGCAGCAGUAGGGAAUCUUAGACAAUGGGGGAAACCCUGAUCUAGCCAUGCCGCGUGAGUGAUGAAGGCCUUAGGGUUGUAAAGCUCUUUCGCUGGGGAAGAUAAUGACGGUACCCAGUAAAGAAACCCCGGCUAACUCCGUGCCAGCAGCCGCGGUAAUACGGAGGGGGUUAGCGUUGUUCGGAAUUACUGGGCGUAAAGCGCGCGUAGGCGGGCUAUUAAGUCAGGGGUGAAAUCCCGGGGCUCAACCCCGGAACUGCCUUUGAUACUGGUAGUCAUGAGUUCGAGAGAGGUGAGUGGAAUUCCGAGUGUAGAGGUGAAAUUCGUAGAUAUUCGGAGGAACAUCAGUGGCGAAGGCGACUCACUGGCUCGAUACUGACGCUGAGGUGCGAAAGUGUGGGGAGCGAACAGGAUUAGAUACCCGUGUAGUC